rnacentral:rRNA from 1 species
GGGAUGAAAUAUUAUUCAAGUUAUUUUGUAUCUGGUUCUCUAAAAGAUUUAAUUGGUUGCAUUAUUGUUAGGUCUGUAAGCAGGGAUUAGCUUGUUUAUUAUUUAUAUGCUUUUAUGGGGUAAUUUUGUUUAUGGAGUUGAUAGUGCUUAUUUUUAAGGAGUUAUUAUAGGACAGGGGUUUUGAAUUAUUAUUUUUUGGUUGUGUAAUAAUUAGAGUUGUUUAGGUAAUUUUUUCUUUUACGGAAUAAUGAUUAGAUUAGUAAUAUUUUAUUUAAUUUUGAUGUAGUUUUUAAGAUGGGUUGAAAGUAGGUAUGUUAAUUUUUAAUUGGGGUAGAUGAAUUCGGCAAAAUUAAUUUUUGACUGUUUAGCAAAAACAUUGUUUUUUGUUUAAUUAAAAAAUAAGUUCUGUCCACUGCUAUUAGGUGAAGGGCUGCAGUAUUUUGACUGUAUGAAGGUAGCAUAAUCAUUAGCUUUUUAAUUGGGGGCUGGUAUGAAGGUGAAACAGAGAUUGUCUAUAUUUGCUCUAUUAAUUGAAUUUUGUGUCUGUGUGAAAAAUCAUGGGUAGAUUAGAGGGACAAGAAGACCCUAAUAAGUUUUAUUUUUUUUAUUUUAUGAUGGUAUAGGUGUUAAUUUAUUUGAUUGGAGUAGGGGGGUUUAGCUGGGGCGGCUGUUUAUUUAACAUAAAUAAAUUUUUAACUCUGUUUGAC